UACGGGGGGGGCAAGCGUUGUUCGGAAUUACUGGGCGUAAAGGGCCAGUAGGCGGCCAACUAAGUCGGAUGUGAAAUCCCCAGGCUUAACUGGGGAGGGUCACGCGAUACUGAUCGACUCGAAGGCAGGAGAGGGUAGUGGAAUUCCCGGUGUAGUGGUGAAAUGCGUAGAUAUCGGGAGGAACACCAGUGGCGAAGGCGACUACCUGGCCUGUUCUUGACGCUGAGGCGCGAAAGCUAGGGGAGCAAACGGG
rnacentral:rRNA from 1 species